UAACGCGAAGAACCUUACCAAGGCUUGACAUACACCGGAAAAGUGCAGAGAUGUGCUCCCCGCAAGGUCGGUGUACAGGUGGUGCAUGGUUGUCGUCAGCUCGUGUCGUGAGAUGUUGGGUUAAGUCCCGCAACGAGCGCAACCCUCGUCCCAUGUUGCCAGCGGGUUAUGCCGGGGACUCAUGGGAGACUGCCGGGGUCAACUCGGAGGAAGGUGGGGAUGACGUCAAAUCAUCAUGCCCCUUAUGUCUUGGGCUUCACGCAUGCUACAAUGGCCGGUACAAAGGGCUGCGAUACCGCGAGGUGGAGCGAAUCCCAAAAAGCCGGUCUCAGUUCGGAUUGGGGUCUGCAACUCGACCCCAUGAAGUCGGAGUCGCUAGUAAUCGCAGAUCAGCAACGCUGCGGUGAAUACGUUCCCGGGUCUUGUACACACCGA
rnacentral:rRNA from 1 species